rnacentral:ncRNA from 1 species
UCCCCGCCUCUACUCCCUGGGCGGGUCCGGCAUCCCCCAAGCCGGAGCUUGUUGCCCCGUGAGUCUCCCCCCGGCUCACGGGGCAUUUUCUU